UGGCUGUUGAUAAGUCUGAUCUUUUGCUGGCUUCUUUGUAUUUGUUUGGAGGGGAGGAAUGCAAUCUCUGCAUGCAGAUCAGAGAGCAAGGGAGAGAAAGCAAGGUCUGUUCCAGUGUACCUCUGUAUCCCGAUGAAAGACUAAAACCGCUGUUAAGCUUUCCAUGAAGUUAAUACCAGUUUUACUGCUUCAGAUCCUCCUCCUAGACUCUCAAACAUGCCUGAGACUAGAAGGUUGCUAACACGAUCACAAAACAUAGUCUGAUGUAAGUUUCCGUCUACACGUGCAACAAAACUUUGAAAAAAACCAAGAAUAGAUUCACAUCUCCUAGCUAUUUUGCAUGAAUGUGUAUCCCAUAUAAGCCCUGU